rnacentral:tRNA from 1 species
AAGAAUUUAAGUUAAUUAAACUAAUAGUCUUCAAAACUAAUAACAUUUGUAAUAAUCAAUUAGUUCUUA